GAUGAAGAACGUAGCGAAAUGCGAUAAGUAAUGUGAAUUGCAGAAUUCAGUGAAUCAUCGAAUCUUUGAACGCGCAUUGCGCCCGCCAGUAUUCUGGCGGGCAUGCCUGUUCGAGCGUCAUUUCAACCAUCAAGCCCCCGGCUUGUGUUGGGGACCUGCGGCUGCCGCAGGCCCUGAAAACCAGUGGCGGGCUCGCUGUCACACCGAGCGUAGUAGAUUUUCAUCUCGCUCAGGGCGUGCUGCGGGUUCCGGCCGUAAAAAGCCUUAUUUACCCAAGGUUGACCUCGGAUCAGGUAGGAAGACCCGCUGAACUUAAGCAUAUCAAUAAGCGGAGGA
rnacentral:misc_RNA from 1 species